rnacentral:rRNA from 1 species
AACGGCCGCGGGAUCCUACCCCGUGCAAAGGUAGCAUAAUCACUUGUCACCUAAAUAGUGACUAGUAUGAAUGGCCAAAUGAGGACUUUCCUGUCUCUUGUAACCAAUCUAUGAAACUGAUCUUCCAGUUCAAAAGCUGGAAUAAACACACAAGACGAAAAGACCCUGUGGAACUUUCAAGUGCCAAUCAACAACAUGAUAUAAUCACUUUUAGUUGGGGCAACUUUGGAACGAAACAAAACUUCCAAUUAUGGGAGAUAACCUAAAUGAUCUAGGUCAACACACCAACCUUCAUCUACCCACUAUCGACCCAGUACUACUGAUAAAAGAACCAAGCUACCCCAGGGAUAACAGCGCCAUCCCCUCCUAGAGUCCCAAUCGACGAGCGGGGCUUACGACCUCGAUGUUGGAUCAGGGCACCCAAACAGUGCAGCAGCUGUUAAAGGUUUGUUUGUUCAACAAUUAAUG